rnacentral:rRNA from 1 species
AACGAACGCUGGCGGCAUGCCUAACACAUGCAAGUCGAACGAAGUCUUCGGACUUAGUGGCGCACGGGUGCGUAACGCGUGGGAAUCUGCCCUUGGGUGCGGAAUAACUUCUCGAAAGGGAUGCUAAUACCGCAUAAUGUCGUAAGACCAAAGAUUUAUCGCCCAAGGAUGAGCCCGCGUAAGAUUAGCUAGUUGGUGGGGUAAAAGCCUACCAAGGCGACGAUCUUUAGCUGGUCUGAGAGGAUGAUCAGCCACACUGGGACUGAGACACGGCCCAGACUCCUACGGGAGCAGCAGUGGGGAAUAUUGGACAAUGGGCGAAAGCCUGAUCCAGCAAUGCCGCGUGAGUGAUGAAGGCCCUAGGGUUGUAAAGCUCUUUUACCAGGGAUGAUAAUGACAGUACCUGGAGAAUAAGCUCCGGCUAACUCCGUGCCAGCAGCCGCGGUAAU